rnacentral:tRNA from 2 species
AUUUAAUUGGCAGAAACAAUGCAUUAGAAUUAGAAUCUAAAUAAACUAAU